AUUGAACGCUGGCGGCAUGCUUUACACAUGCAAGUCGAACGGUAACAGGCCGCAAGGUGCUGACGAGUGGCGCACGGGUGAGUAAUGCAUCGGAACGUGCCCAGUCGUGGGGGAUAGCUACUCGAAAGAGUAGCUAAUACCGCAUACGAUCUAUGGAUGAAAGCGGGGGACCGUAAGGCCUCGCGCGAUUGGAGCGGCCGAUGUCAGAUUAGGUAGUUGGUGGGGUAAAGGCUCACCAAGCCAACGAUCUGUAGCUGGUCUGAGAGGACGACCAGCCACACUGGGACUGAGACACGGCCCAGACUCCUACGGGAGGCAGCAGUGGGGAAUUUUGGACAAUGGGCGCAAGCCUGAUCCAGCAAUGCCGCGUGCAGGAAGAAGGCCUUCGGGUUGUAAACUGCUUUUGUACGGAACGAAACGGCUCUGGUUAAUACCCGGGGCUAAUGACGGUACCGUAAGAAUAAGCACCGGCUAACUACGUG
rnacentral:rRNA from 1 species